rnacentral:rRNA from 1 species
GACGAACGCUGGCGGCGUGCUUAACACAUGCAAGUCGAACGGAAAGGCCCUGCUUUUGUGGGGUGCUCGAGUGGCGAACGGGUGAGUAACACGUGAGUAACCUGCCCUUGACUUUGGGAUAACUUCAGGAAACUGGGGCUAAUACCGGAUAGGAGCUCCUGCUGCAUGGUGGGGGUUGAAAAGUUUCGGCGGUUGGGGAUGGACUCGCGGCUUAUCAGCUUGUUGGUGGGGUAGUGGCUUACCAAGGCUUUGACGGGUAGCCGGCCUGAGAGGGUGACCGGCCACAUUGGGACUGAGAUACGGCCCAGACUCCUACGGGAGGCAGCAGUGGGGAAUAUUGCACAAUGGGCGGAAGCCUGAUGCAGCAACGCCGCGUGCGGGAUGACGGCCUUCGGGUUGUAAACCGCUUUCGCCUGUGACGAAGCGUGAGUGACGGUAAUGGGUAAAGAAGCACCGGCUAACUACGUGCCAGCAGCCGCGGUGAUACGUAGGGUGCGAGCGUUGUCCGGAUUUAUUGGGCGUAAAGGGCUCGUAGGUGGUUGAUCGCGUCGGAAGUGUAAUCUUGGGGCUUAACCCUGAGCGUGCUUUCGAUACGGGUUGACUUGAGGAAGGUAGGGGAGAAUGGAAUUCCUGGUGGAGCGGUGGAAUGCGCAGAUAUCAGGAGGAACACCAGUGGCGAAGGCGGUUCUCUGGGCCUUUCCUGACGCUGAGGAGCGAAAGCGUGGGGAGCGAACAGGCUUAGAUACCCUGGUAGUCCACGCUGUAAACGGUGGGUACUAGGUGUGGGGUCCAUUCCACGGGUUCCGUGCCGUAGCUAACGCUUUAAGUACCCCGCCUGGGGAGUACGGCCGCAAGGCUAAAACUCAAAGGAAUUGACGGGGCCCCGCACAAGCGGCGGAGCAUGCGGAUUAAUUCGAUGCAACGCGUAGAACCUUACCUGGGUUUGACAUGGAUCGGGAGUGCUCAGAGAUGGGUGUGCCUCUUUUGGGGUCGGUUCACAGGUGGUGCAUGGCUGUCGUCAGCUCGUGUCGUGAGAUGUUGGGUUAAGUCCCGCAACGAGCGCAACCCUUGUUCACUGUUGCCAGCACGUUAUGGUGGGGACUCAGUGGAGACCGCCGGGGUCAACUCGGAGGAAGGUGGGGAUGACGUCAAGUCAUCAUGCCCCUUAUGUCCAGGGCUUCACGCAUGCUACAAUGGCUGGUACAGAGAGUGGCGAGCCUGUGAGGGUGAGCGAAUCUCGGAAAGCCGGUCUCAGUUCGGAUUGGGGUCUGCAACUCGACCUCAUGAAGUCGGAGUCGCUAGUAAUCGCAGAUCAGCAACGCUGCGGUGAAUAAGUUCCCGGGGCU